rnacentral:rRNA from 1 species
GACGAACGCUGGCGGCGUGCUUAACACAUGCAAGUCGAACGGACAGGCCCUGCUUUUGUGGGUUGCUCGAUUGGCGAACGGGUGAGUAACACGUGAGUAACCUGCCCUUGACUUUGGGAUAACUUCAGGAAACUGGGGCUCAUACCGGAUAUGAGCUCCUGCUCCAUGGUGGGGGUUGGAAAGUUUCGGCGUUUGGGGAUGGACUCGCGGCUUAUCCGCUUGUUGGUGGGGUAGUGGCUUACCAAGGCUUUGACGGGUAGCCGGCCUGAGAGGGUGACCGGCCACAUUGGGACUGAGAGACGGCCCAGACUCCUACGGGAGGGAGAAGUGGGGAAUAUUGAACAAUGGGCGGAAGCCUGAUGCAGAAACGCCGCGUGCGGGAUGACGGCCUUAGGGUUGUAAACCGCUUUCGCCUGUGACGAAGCGUGAGUGAAGGGAAUGGGUAAAGAAGCACCGGCUAACUACGUG